GAUGAAGAACGUAGCGAAAUGCGAUAAGUAAUGCGAAUUGCAGAAUUCCAGUGAAUCAUCGAAUCUUUGAACGCACAUUGCGCCCGUCAGUAUUCUGGCGGGCAUGCCUGUUCGAGCGUCAUUACGCCCCUCAAGUCCCCUGUGGACUUGGUGUUGGGGAUCGGCGAGGCUGGUUUUCCAGCACAGCCGUCCCUUAAAUUAAUUGGCGGUCUCGCCGUGGCCCUCCUCUGCGCAGUAGUAAAACACUCGCAACAGGAGCCCGGCGCGGUCCACUGCCGUAAAACCCCCCAACUUUUUAUAGUUGACCUCGAAUCAGGUAGGACUACCCGCUGAACUUAAGCAUAUCAAUAAGCGGAGGA
rnacentral:misc_RNA from 1 species